UGACGGUACCUGAAGAAUAAGCACCGGCUAACUACGUGCCAGCAGCCGCGGUAAUACGUAGGGUGCAAGCGUUAAUCGGAAUUACUGGGCGUAAAGCGUGCGCAGGCGGUCAUGUAAGACAGAUGUGAAAUCCCCGGGCUCAACCUGGGAACUGCAUUUGUGACUGCAUGACUGGAGUACGUCAGAGGGGGGUGGAAUUGCGCGUGUAGCAGUGAAAUGCGUAGAUAUGCGCAAGAACACCAAUGGCGAAGGCAGCCCCCUGGGACGCAACUGACGCUCAUGCACGAAAGCGUGGGGAGCAAACAGGAUUAGAUACCCUG
rnacentral:rRNA from 1 species